rnacentral:sRNA from 1 species
GAGCAGGAAGGCUCGGGCCGGCGGCUGACUCCUGGAAGUCUGCUGACAGAGGCUCAACACGGCUCGGACGCCCUUGCCCCGGUUCCUAAGCCCCAAGGCGGGCAAGUGCCGGCUGAUCACCUCCACCUCACAGUGUAGCUUCAUCUCGCCCAGCGGCCACAACCAGGUCAGCUGGCUUUGAAACUUCCCCCUUCCCGCCACCCGGCGCCGCCACCGGGGUCCUCGCGCCCGCGGGCUGCCCACUGAUCCGCCUGCCUGUUGGAUUGGUCCGCGACUCGGGCUGUCUUACCACCGUGUCUGUAUGAAGCCCGCGGGAAACGGCUUCCCUUUUCCCUUAGCAGGGCCGGGUCCUCGCGGUGGCUGCGUACCGGGACUGACCACCUGAGAUCCGGGCUCGCGCCCCGGAAACCGGCAAUCGGCGGGGGCGCAACGUCUUUUCCCCCGAGCGCGCAGCUGGCAGCGGUGGUUGUUUUUGUUUGGGGAGGAUUCGGAGGGUUUCAGCUGUUGACGCUUUACGCGUUGCCGGCGCACGUCCGGCCGCUGUUUCCCGAAGGAAGGCAGGUGUGCCUCUGCGUUACAGGGAAAGGCACUUAGAACUGUCUGAGUGGCCUCGUAGGCCAGCGAGGGCGCAUUUCCCGGCGCGGACGGGCUGCUGGUGGUUUUGGUGGCUGCUCUCCAGAGGCACACCUGGCACGUCGGAGGGGGGCUUUAUAUGGUUGUAUUUGACUUGGCAAUUCCUGCUGAACAAAUAAUUUUCCAUGGCGGGUAGGAUGGAUGGAGUGUGACUGGCUUAACCGCACCUGAGACGUGGAAAGACCUUCCAGACCGCACAAGGCCUUCGUACUCUUGAUUUUGAUUGAUUGAACUAGGACGGGGCCCGGCUGUGGAGUGGGAAGCGCCUGGGGAGCAAAUGUUAAGGAGGUGCUUACUGUCGGGGUCGUAGUCUUGCCUCCUUAAAAUUUGUGCUCUAGGCGCCUCUCUCACCUUAACCUAAUCCUAGCCGUAUAUUAAACAUUUUAUUGUGUCUGAGUUAUACUUCCGUAAUGGUAAAAUGACGUUCAGAAAUACUGAUUUUUCAAUACAACUGUGACAAAAUGUGAUUUAUUCUCAAAUGAGCGUCCGUAUUUACAUGUUGAACCUGAAGUGUUGUCGGUUAAUUCCUCAUUCUUUAAAACGUAAUAGUUCCUGAAAAAAAGUGAUUAACAUAAAAUUAUGGCCGGGCGUGGUGGCUCACGCCUGUAAUCCCAGCACUUUGCCGGGCUGAGGCAGGCAGGUCGCUUGAGCCCAGGAGUUCAAGACCAGUUUGGGCAACAUGGCAAAACCCAGUCUCUACGAAAAAUACAAAAAAAUUAGCCGGGCGUGGUGGCGCGUGUCUGUAGUCCCAGCUAUUGGGGAGGCUGAGGUGGGAGGAUCACUUGAGCCUGGGGAGGUCGAGAGGCUGCGGUGAGCAGUAAUCGCGCACUGGCACUCCAGCCUGAGUGACCCCGUCUCAAAAAAAAAACAAAAAGAAAAAAAUUACUUUCCCUCCAUUUAGUAUUCUUAUAUGUACAUCUAGUAGAGCAUUAAAACGCUACUCAGCAUUUAAGCAAAACUUAACUUUAUGGCUAAAGAGAAAACGGACACUACAAUUUUCAGACUAUUAGACUUUAUAGGAGUUACCUGCUUUUGUUCUUUGAGAGGGUAAUAAUGUAGAAAAGAUAA